GCAACAUGGCUCAGUGGUAGAGCGUCUGUUUUUCAUACAGAAGGUCCCAGGUUCAAUCCCCAGCCUAUCCA